GCCUUCGUGGUGUAGUGGUGAGCCCGCUGUGCGCAUAUUCCAGAGGUCUGUGGUUCGAGUCCCGGUGAAGGCG
rnacentral:tRNA from 1 species